UGCAAAUCACCUACAAUGUUAAAUAUAUAAAACUGCUGUAUUAAGCUCGGAGAAGGAGGAAAAUUUCCUCUUCACUCAUGUGACCGGAGACUAAAAGGAAGGCUCCAGGGGUGCUGCUGGCUGGGAAGAGAACUGGGGAAACUGCCCCAGUAGAGGUGGAGAUGCCAGGGCAGAGGGAACUGGGCUUAACGGGGCAGGGCUGCCUCUAGAAAGAGCCAGCUUUUCUAGCACAGGUUAGGAGUGAGGCAGCAGAACUGGGCUUAACAGGGGGCAGGACUGCCUCUAGAAAGAGCCAGCUUUUCUAGCACAGGUUAGGAGUGAGGCAGCUUCCCACCAGUGAGUCAACCUUGCCAUAAAUUGCCAACAAAUAUGCUCAGGGCGAAAGAACCAGAUCAGAUGUUAUGGGACUCUUUUUCUAAUUACAGAAGUUUCUUCUGUGGGGCAGUUAGCCCCUUCCAAUUAAGAAGUAAUUACAUUCUAAAGGAUUGGUUACAAAGCAAGAUAAACUAAAAAUAGAAAGUGUGAAAUAAGAAUAAAGGCAAAAAAUAAUGGCUAUUUUGCCAGUUACAUUCUUUUUCUUCUUCAUCCCCAAACUAGAAAUCAAUUGAAAAGCAAAAAAUAUUAGGUAACUGAGGCAAAUGUGGUUAGAAACAUCCCAAGUAUACACAAGAAUGAUGAGUUCUAUCCUUACUGAAAUUGCCAUAGAUUCCAUGAAUGGCAUGAGAUCACAUAUGAAAGAUGGUAAUCUACAAUGUUUGUUAAAAGUCACAUAUUACAAUUCAGAUGGGUCCAGAUUAUGUCAAACUGCAAAGAAAUAUCAGCUAAAUAAGUAAAAGGGAUCAUAACUCUAAAACCUAUGACUCCUUAUUAAAUUUACAAGAGGACAGUGGCAGCUUUGCUUGAUAAUUUAUUUAUAAAAAGACACAUGAGGCCAGGCACAGUGGCUC
rnacentral:lncRNA from 1 species